GGUCUAGCGGCGGACGGGUGAGUAACGCGUGGGAACGUGCCCUUCUCUACGGAAUAGCCCCGGGAAACUGGGAGUAAUACCGUAUACGCCCUUUGGGGGAAAGAUUUAUCGGAGAAGGAUCGGCCCGCGUUGGAUUAGGUAGUUGGUGAGGUAACGGCUCACCAAGCCGACGAUCCAUAGCUGGUUUGAGAGGAUGAUCAGCCACACUGGGACUGAGACACGGCCCAGACUCCUACGGGAGGCAGCAGUGGGGAAUCUUAGACAAUGGGGGCAACCCUGAUCUAGCCAUGCCGCGUGAGUGAUGAAGGCCUUAGGGUUGUAAAGCUCUUUCAGCUGGGAAGAUAAUGACGGUACCAGCAGAAGAAGCCCCGGCUAACUCCGUGCCAGCAGCCGCGGUAAUACGGAGGGU
rnacentral:rRNA from 1 species